UACAGAGGUCCCGAGCGUUGUUCGGAUUCACUGGGCGUAAAGGGUGCGCAGGUGGUUGUGCAAGUCUGAUGUGAAAUCUCCGGGCUUAACCCGGAAAUGGCAUUGGAAACUGCAUGGCUAGAGGGUUGGAGGGGGGACUGGAAUACUUGGUGUAGCAGUGAAAUGCGUAGAUAUCAAGUGGAACACCAGUGGCGAAGGCGAGUCCCUGGACAACACCUGACACUGAGGCACGAAAGCUAGGGGAGCAAACAGG
rnacentral:rRNA from 1 species